rnacentral:ncRNA from 1 species
UACAAAGGCAAACCAAUUGAAAGGUUGGGACGCAAAGCUUCCGGUCUAAGGGGAUAGUUUUGAGAAGGUCGCAUUCUCAAAAUAGUAUUGUUCCUAUGAUAGCGGGGAUG